rnacentral:rRNA from 1 species
GGACCCGCACAAGCGGUGGAGUAUGUGGUUUAAUUCGAUGCAACGCGAAGAACCUUACCAGGGUUUGACAUCCUGCGAAUCUCUUGGAAACGAGAGAGUGCCUUCGGGAACGCAGUGACAGGUGCUGCAUGGUUGUCGUCAGCUCGUGCCGUGAGUGUCAGGUUAAGUCCUAUAACGAGCGCAACCCCUAUCGUUAGUUGCCAGCGAGUAAUGUCGGGAACUCUAACGAAACUGCCAGUGCAAACUGUGAGGAAGGUGGGGGAUGACGUCAAAUCAUCACGGCCCUUACGUCCUGGGCUACACACGUCUACAAUGGCCGGUACAGAGAGCAGCCACUUCGCAAGAAGGAGCGAA